GAGAGUAAACAGGGGCCACCGGGGUCCCAGUGUCACUGUAAAGGCUAAUCCUCUACAAUCCUUAAUCCACUCAACAAUGAGAAGAACAAAUAAUAAUAAUAAUUUCAUGAUUGUUCCCGAUCGAUCCUUAAAAUUAAUUAAUUAAAAUGUAAUUAAUCUGCUUCAUCAGAUUGUUUGACUUUAACGAUACUAAUGUGGAUGCAGUUUGUGACGUCUGGUUGAAUUAAUUUAGACCUUUUAUUAAGGAAGGGGUCAAUGCUUAAAAAAAAUUAAAGUCAAGGUGUAUUUUGUUAAAUCAUGAAAUAACAAACAUGCCAAAAUCCAAUUUAUAUUGACUUAUUGAAGUUAUAUGCCUGGUUUGGUCAAAAAUAUGAAUCCUUACUGCUUAAAAAUGUAGGCAGAAUUUAACAUGUCAUGUGAUGAUUAGUAGUAUUAAUAUUGAGCCAUUUUAACAUAUUAGUGUUAUUUCCAUUUCUUUAUUACAAGACACCAGUGCACCAUCAGUGUUGUAUUGUUUCUUUUUUGUUUGUUUAAUUGUUUUCUGGUGUGAUAGCUUCACUGGCACUCACCGCCCCACAGCUCUCCGGGUGUCAUCAUUAUAUUAUCAUCUUCCUCGGGCCUUAAGCCACAUGGCCUGGACCACUGGAAACGUUUAUUGACCAUUGUGAUAUCCCGUUAACCCCAUCACCAAAGACGCAUGGCUCCGUCCGAGUGAUCCCGCUCCCUCAGGCCCUAAACAGAGAGCUCUAUCAAGCUAAGCUCCAAUUAAAAUAAAAACAGCAAAGAACGAUAGAAUGAUUAAAUCGUUAGUCUCACCGCGGGAAGUGGUAUUUCGUUUCCCCGUUCAAUUAGAGGUUGAUUGGGCUUUUCAGGGGAGGUCAGCUGUGAAAUCUGGAUUAUAUAUGCGCGGACUCGAAGACACAUAGACCGUUUCCCUCUCGUGGUUUACGAACGAGUUACUUGACUGGAUGUUAAAUAAGGUGCAUAAGAUUGAUCAGCCACAACAAAAAGUCCACUAAAAAUGACAACAUCAGAGCAGUUUACAUGUGGCCUUUCUUUUCAUCUUCCGCUGCACACACAGACAUGACCAUUCACCAUCACCAGCAGACGGCGAUACCGGCGCUUUGCCCCGGCAAUUUCACUGUCAUUAUAUGGCUAUCCAUCCUCAGGGGCUUCUCCUCUUAGACUAACAGUUUAUUUUUUACCAAAUCUCUUUUAUAGCAUCUUGAUUGUGUGUAAUUUCUCCAUCUCUGACACCUACUAUUAUUACAUAGGCCUACCUUAAUUACAUACCUGGAGGGGGGAGAGAGAGAGAGAGAGAGAGAGAGAGAUGGUCUGAAAAAUGGAUUUUGCGGCGCUGGUUGAGCAUCAAGUCGUCUGAAAUUGAAUUGGUUUAGGUAGACUGUAGUGUAAUUCCAGUGCAUAAAAAUACAGUUGGGCCCAGGCUUCUAGGACGCACAGAGACAGAGAGAAUAACCUGUUAAAGAUAGGAGGAAAUGUUCUGACUUUCACGCACAAAUAUAGAGAGAAAGUGGAGGGUAAAAAAAUGAUUUUGCCCAAAUUGAAGCCUGCGAAUUUAAAAGCUGCUUGAUAUGGAAGCUGUUUUUUAAAGUGUUGUUUUUUUUUAUUCAGCAACCACAACUAUUUUUUUUUAAAUAUGUUGAGAUGUUUGACUGAUCGUAAUCACAGACUGCACCCACCUUUUGGCCGCUACAUCACUGCUAACAAAUCUCAGUUAUUUUUGUUUAGCUGAAGUCUCUGAGAGCGUGUUUGGAAAUUUCAAAUGCCUUGUGCUAUUUGUGGGAUUGACCCUCCUUUCUGCCUCCUCCUUCUCCUCCUCCUCCUCCGGUGUGUUCUUCCUCUAUGGUCCUCUAGUCACCUGACCAAACGCCAUGCAAAUCAUUCUGCUGCUAGAGCCUCAUUGGCCGCUUGUGGCUCAUUUAACCGCUGUCAGUGCGCAUCAUAUGGCCGCCGCUUUAACCAACUUCUCAACUCCGACAGGGAAAGUGGCUCAAAUGCGCAUUCUAUCACAGUGGAUGUGAACCAACCCAGGCGAAGACAGGGUGAAAUACUGGUUGGAAAACAUUUUAUAUCCCUUUCGGAUUAAUUUUUAUCUCGUAUUUGUUUCAUUUGGGGUUAGAAUAUUAAUUUUGUAACCCAGUCAUCCUGUGUGCACCCGAUCUUGUGCGCGCCUGACCUAUCUUGAAAAAGACUUUUUCUCUGUUGGUGGCGAAGUUUAAAACCAGGUGAAUGUAUAGCAUGAUGAUGGAAACUGACCUUCAUUCCCCCGGCCCCCAAACGAAUACGACCACGGGGCAAACGGGGCCGAACGGCGGGUCCAAAGCGAAUCAGGAACGGGUGAAGAGACCGAUGAACGCGUUCAUGGUGUGGUCCCGCGGGCAGCGGAGAAAGAUGGCACAGGAGAACCCCAAAAUGCACAACUCUGAGAUCAGCAAACGGCUGGGUGCCGAGUGGAAGGUGAUGUCCGAGGCUGAGAAGCGCCCUUUCAUCGACGAGGCAAAACGGUUGCGAGCCAUGCACAUGAAGGAGCAUCCGGAUUACAAGUACCGGCCAAGACGGAAGACCAAGACGCUGCUGAAAAAGGACAAAUAUUCUCUUGCCGGUGGACUGCUUUCUGGGCCCAGUGGGGGCGGUGGAGUUGGUUUAGGGGUCGGAAUGAGUUCAUCCGGGGUCGGGCAGAGGUUAGAGAGCCCCGGGGGUCACGGAGGCUCCGCAAGCUCCGGCUACGCGCACAUGAACGGCUGGGCGAACGGUGCGUACUCGGGGCAGGUGGCUGCAGCCGCGGCGGCGGCAGCGAUGAUGCAGGAGGCUCAGCUAGCCUACAGCCAGCACCCGGGGAGCGGAGCGCACCACCACCACCACUCACACCACCAUCACUCACACAAUCCCCAGCCCAUGCACCGCUACGACAUGACAGCCCUGCAGUACAGUCCCAUCUCGAACUCUCAGAGCUACAUGAACGCUUCUCCAUCCGGCUACGGCGGGAUCACCUACACACAGCACCAGGGCUCCGGCGUCUCCUCCUCAGCUGCCAUGGGGACGUUAGGGUCGCUGGUGAAGUCGGAGCCGAGUGUAAGCCCUCCCGUCAGCAGCACACACUCACGGGGUCCUUGCCCCGGAGACUUGAGAGAGAUGAUAAGCAUGUAUUUACCGACCGGAGAGCCGGGGGACCCGUCAAUGCAAAGUAGACUCCAUGCCUUGCCGCAGCAUUACCAGAGCGCCACGGCUGGAGUGAACGGGACGGUCCCUCUAACACACAUUUAGAACUCACAUAAUAAUUGAAAACUGCAAACGAACACAUAACCAAAUAUUUACCUCUUUUCUAAAUAACCCCGGUCCCGAGAACUACCUGCAUUUUGUACAGAAUGUUUAUGAUAUUGUAAAUGAAGGGUAAAUAGCAUAUUCAUCUCGGCUUUUUUGAAUAGCUACCAGUGGAAUUAUAUAACGAAUAUGAUGCUGAGAUAUUGGUUAUUGUGCUAUCAUCUUUUUGUCCAUUACUUCACAGUCUUAGUUGAGGGUUACGCCAGGUUCACAUGUGGGUAUUUGGUUCAAUUGUCUCAUAAUUUUGGGGAGUUCUUGUAAGUUAUUGAACAUGAGAUAACGUGUCAUAAUCUUAAGAAAGUGCUUUAAAAGAUAUGGGAAACUCACAUUCUUUACAACAUUUGUGUUCAUUUGCAGAAGCCUGUGUCUUAAUUCUUGGAGAUCAUCUCUUUUUAUUGUAACACUCUAAUUAUUGUAAAUUGUGAAUAAUUUUAAUAUUUCAAAGGAUGACGGGCAACUGCUGUUGUAAUUUAAGUGCUUUUCUGCAAGUGAAAGGCUCUGAUAUUGCAAUGAAGAAUUGAAUAAAUUUCACAAGAUGUUGCAUUGAUUCUUAAGACAACAGUCUUAGAUUGAUUAUUUUCAAAAUGUUCUUACAGGGGUGGGGGGGUUCCCGUUUUAGGACACAAGAAUAUCAUCAAGCCCCCUCUCGAGAAAAAAUAGCCACCUGUUUUAAAUUGUGACACCGCUGCUGGACACAGAUCCCACGAGCUUUUAAAUAGCCUAAUUGUUUGUGCGUAAUUGUGCGUAAAAGCUACAGUCUGUAGGCCUAUGAGGAAACCAUAUAGAUAGGAUUGAUGUUGUUUCAUGGACUAAACUUUUACGUGGGUAAUGAGAAAUGCAUCUAUACAUGAUAAAAAGCUUUUUUAUUAUUUCAGUGGCGUGCAGGCCAAACUAUAUAUAACUAUACACAUGAAUAUUUAAGGCAGGCCAAGUUGAUGGCCCACAUUAUCCUUUCAUAUAAAUAUGAUUCCUUAUACAUUCGUUUUUGUACUGUUUGUCAAAAAAUCUGAUUAUAUAAAGGCCUCAUAUGACAAACCACCUGUUAGUGAUAUCAACGAAGCGUCCUCAUUUAUUAACGGAUAUAAGAGGUUUUACUUAAAUUUUGCUAUUAACAAAUUUCAUUUUCCCCUUGUAAUUGCUUAUGAGAUGUGACUGUGUUUAUAGCUAAUUUUAAGCAGCACAUUUUUAAUCGAUUUUUCAUUUAAAUUAAUUUAUAGUCAUUUCAUUUAUCAGUAAGUCGAUUUAUAUUUUGCUAAGGAAUUGAAGUUGUGUCAGACUUCCAUUUCCUGAUUAGAUCACAUCAAGUUUUAAAUAACGUCAUUCUCUUCAGCAAAAAAAUUAACAACUUAUCAAAAGGCUAUAAACUCAUUUGCUGUUGACUUUUUAAAACGACUAUGACUAUGAGCUUAUACAGUAAAUCGUGAAAAUAGGUUCAUAUCUUUUUGAUGCACUGAGAGAAAUUUUGUGAAUUUCAGUGUGAAGUUUUGAGGUAAUUUCACUGCUUCUGUUUUAAACACUUGACAUAAUUCUUAAAUCCCAGAUGGAAAAAGUAAAGAACAGUAAUAGAUAAAGAACAGUUUAGCGAUUAAAGGAUUCAUUAUUUUUUUUAAUUAAUGAAAGACUUGAUUUUCACCUGAACUGGUUGGUUUUACAUCCACUGCCCUCGGUACAUGGAGUUUUUUUUUUAAAACAUCCACUUUAUCUGUCUUUUGGCAUUUAAUUGUUUGUACUUGAGAGAGACAAAAUACGUGAUCUGAAAGAUAAUAUAGUAUUAUUAAUAUAUUGAUAGCUACGUGGUGAUCAACAAUACAAUAACAGACCUCAGAGAAAAAUACGUGCAUCCUCAAAAUCGCAAACAAUCUUAAUUUCUGUAGCUGUAUUUUGGUUAUCUUGCUAAUCAAAUGAACAAUGUUCAGUAGAUGAUAAAGUUGAACAAAUAUUUGUAAUAAAUGUUUUAUAUUUUUCCCGGGGUUUUAUCCUAACUGCAUGGUCCCAUCAUCUUUUAGUUUAGCUGUGAGGCGGUGAGAGUCAUUUCUGUUAUUUUGCUCUUGACACUUGAUAGAGUCAGUGAAGUAAAGGGAACUGAAACUGCAUGAGGCACAAACGAGGAUUUGAUUAAUAAAUCCAUGUUUGAUAUCACCACUACAAGAAACUUUGGGGAAUAAACCGUCUGUCAUUGUGAAGGAAAGGGGGAAAAAAUCUUAAUGCCACUUCGUCAAAAUGUAAAACUCAAUUGCACUCAAAGCAGAGCAUGAAAUAAUUCAAGAUUUAAUGCACUUAACCCGCUACAGUAUCAACGUGCACAACCUAAACCAUGCAGCCUAACUGUUGCACAGACUGGACUUAAACUUCCCAAAUGGCCACACACACUCGUCACAAGUAGCUUAUGGAUUUAUUGAUGACUCAUCACAGUUUCAAAGCUGCAGAUGUUUGAUUGUAGAUGACUGUGAGUUUUGGUACCUUUUAACAAAAACACCUUCAUUGUGGAUCAGACAUGUUUUAAGAAAAGAGAUAAUGUCAUUCAGAUUAUUAAUCCUCUUAAAAUAAUGAAAAAUCAGUCUGAAAAUGACGUCAUUUUUGACAGGCCACAGCUGGUUUUGACAUGUACAUUUAUUUAUUUUUUUGCCUGUAGGCCUCAUAUGUAGAUACAGGCUAAUAUCCAUACACAUGCAAAUGAGGGAAAUUUAUGCCUACUUAGGCAUUUUAAAAAAUCAAUUAAUCUCAAAUACAUAGUUAAAGGGCCUAUUUCACACUGAUGAAGACUUGCAUGGUAUGUCAAUUAAACCUGUUAGGCCUCGUAGCAAAGCGUGUAACGUCUGGCUGCGUAUUAAUGUAUUGAAAGAAAACAGAGGAAUAAUGUCUGGAAAUUUGUUUAAAUUCCAAAACCCAAAAGAAACUGCAUCUAUGGAGACAUCUCUCCGCACUACGGUGCGCAGCGUGUGGCACGGGAUGGCCUCCUCCAUGUGUUUUGCAUCUGUUUCCAUCUUAUCUGUUGAUGUGAAGAGAUGCGGAUUAACACUGAAAGCCCGGAGAGGCGGAGCGCGUCACGGCGCAUCGCCAGGCUAAAAGAGGAGCGUUCUGGCAAAUUUAACCCGAAUAAAUUACACCUUGAGGUGGAAGAGGGAUUUCUCCGUUGUUGGAAUAGCAUCUGCACUGGAACUUUUUGACAAGAGCAAAGUGUCCAUCAUGGCUAUCACCAGUGGACAUGGAUCACUGUGGGGGCCUGUGAUUAACAGAUAGCACCUCGUCUCCUCUGCUGGCAGGCUAUCAUUACGACGAGCACUAGAAGAUAGGUGCUGUGGGCGAAAAGACCUUUUGGAAAAUGUCAGCGACAGUCAGAGUCCCAAAUUUCCUCCAUUCACUCUUUUCUGUGUGAUGCUACCUACUCUAAAGCCCUUAAUUACACAACCCCUUUCUCCUAUUGCCUAAUGUUUAGUAUCAAAGUACAGUGUCUGAUUUCAGAGCAUGUGGAGAUUUUAUUUUAUCUUAUGUGGCUUACCUGAAGAAAACAACAAACAAUAAAAAAAACCUGUUUCACCAAUCUCAGCAAAAAUGAACACUAACAAACAAAAACAAAAAAACAGCAGUAUCUGCAACAGCUCCUUUUUCCCAUUCCCUUUCACUGCAGCCAGCUUCACUGUCUUAAUACUCUUAGUCCCUCGGCUGGCAUGUUUUCCAAGAACCCGCUGCAUUUUCAGAUUUGUGAAAUCCGUCAAAAUGCCUGUAAUGAAUAUUUCUACAGCCUUGAGUGUAUUUAAUGUGCAGUUUGAUCAGCCCAAUAAGAAACAUGUACUGAUCUGGCACUAGAGCAUCAGUAGAAGUUUAUUGUCUGUCCCUGUUCAGACAGAGGCCUCAGUCAGUGUGGAAACAGUGUGAAACAGGUAGUUUUUCAUUUGAACACAAACUUGUCUUUUAUCAAGAGAAGAAGAAAGGAAAUAAACAUGUAUUAUUCACAAAUGCUUUUAAUUUUUAAUUAACAUAUUUCCUGUGCAUGAAUCUACAUGUCAUGUAUAUUUGUAUUUAAAAUUUUCAAAAAAAGGAACUACUAUUAGUACAGUUGUCUUCAAGGAUUAACUGUCAUCUUGUAAGGCAAGUCUUUGUUAUGUACUCAACACUUACAUUGUACAGUCUGUUUUGCUGUUGUCUUAGCUUUUGCUUAAAAAAAAGAGAAAACAUAUUAAAUAAAGGCUUGCAUCUUAUUGCUGCCUAAGAAUGAAA